CAAAAUGGUGCCCCCGGUUCAGGUCUCUCCGCUCAUCAAGGUGAAUCCCCUUCACCGUCACUGCGCGGUGCUCACAGCCCUUGUAUGCCCCCUUUCCCUUCCCCUCCCCUGACUUAGCAUUGCCCACCCUCGAGACUGCCGGCUGUGGUCUCCAAGCAAUCCCCGGCCUGCAACCCUUGCACACACACCCGCCCAUUGCUCCCUUUCCCAGUCCUCCUCCAUCUCCGACCCUGCGAUCCCCUUGUCCCACCGGUGUUCCUUCUGCUCUAACGUUUUGUUCUGCAGUUCGGCCGGUACUCCGCUCUGAUCCUCGGCAUGGCAUACGGCGCCAAGCGCUACAGUUACUUAAAACCCCGGGCAGAGGAGGAGAGAAGAAUAGCAGCGGAGGAAAAAAAGAGACUAGAUGAGUUGAAACGGAUUGAGAGAGAACUGGCAGAAGCUGAAGAUGUCAGCAUUUUCAAGUGAGGCGGCAGUGAUCUUGCUUUUCUCUUGUCGUUGAGGAUGAAUAAAGCUUCAUUGUGUGA
rnacentral:lncRNA from 1 species